rnacentral:lncRNA from 1 species
AUGUCUCAAAAACGAAAAAUGGCGGAUCGUAUCCAGACUGUGACAGUCUACACCCUGGUUGAAAAGUACACAUUGACAGUGCCGGAGGCUGUGGCCAGGUUCAGAAGGGGCCCACAAUAUGAACCAUGUGAAUUGGAAAUGAUGCAAGCUGACUUGAUGAAACAUUUAUCAGAGGAGGCAACAGAGAAGCUACAAGCCUAUAAAGAUAGAAUGUGAAGAGCCCUCUCCUCUGAGGCAUUUCUUAGCCAGCUAUAAGGUGUAAUAUCUUCAAAGAUUUACUUUUCUUUUUCUUUUGACCCCUCCAAGGAAAUGUGUCACAGCCCUACGGGGGCCUCUAACCAUUCUCUUCUGUUUAACUCAAAACUGUAGUAAAUGGUGCAUUUGUUGGGGACUGUUUUCUGCGGUGGAGUAAUACACAGUGUGUGUUAGACUAGAGCAGUGCACACUUACAAACUGUAGAGUAUGUAUCAAAUGUGAGUAUGUGUGCAUACAUAUGUAUA